rnacentral:tRNA from 3 species
GCUUUGUUAGCUCAGUCGGUAGAGCAAGUGACUCUUAAUCACUGGGUCGGGGGUUCGAACCCCUCACAAAGCACCA